CCGGUUGUAUGUCGAGCUGUAGUUUAGGCUGUAGGUCCGGUUGUAGGUUUAGGUGUAGGUCCGGUUGUAGGUCAGGCUGUAGGUCAGGUUGUAGGUUCAGUUGUAGGUCAGGGUGUAGGUCGGGCUGUAGGUUCAGGUGUAGGUCGGGCUGUAGGUCAGGGUGUAGGUCGGGCUGUAGGUUCAGGUGUAGGUCUGGUUGUAGGUCAGGCUGUAGAUCUGGCUGUAGGUCAGGGUGUAGGUCGGGCUGUAGGUUUAGGUGUAGGUCCGGUUGUAGGUCAGGCUGUAGGUCAGGUUGUAGGUUCAGUUGUAGGUCAGGGUGUAGGUCGGGCUGUAGGUUCAGGUGUAGGUCGGGCUGUAGGUCAGGGUGUAGGUCGGGCUGUAGGUCAGGGUGAAGAUCUGGCUGUAGGUUCAGGUGUAGGUCUGGUUGUAGGUCAGGGUGUAGUUCAGGGUACUACAGUGUAGGGCUGGUUUAGGUUUAGGUGUAGGUCAGGGUGUAGUUCAGGGUGUAGGUCAGGGUGUAGUUCAGGGUACUACAGUGUAGGGCUGGUUUAGGGUGUAGUUCAGGGUGUAGAUUCGGGUGUAGUUCAGGGUACUACAGUGUAGGGCUGGUUUAGGGUGUAGUUCAGGGUGUAGAUUCGGGUGUAGUUCAGGGUACUACAGUGUAGGGCUGGUUUAGGGUGUAGUUCAGGGUGUAGAUUCGGGUG